UAUCUUUGCGCUCGCAAUGGUUUAGCUAUUCUUUUCGAGUUUAGCUAACGAAGAGGGAAUCAGGUGCAAAUCCUGAACAAGCCCGUUACUGUAAAUUCCAUGCAACAUUUUGGCUGAUUUAAUGGCUUUUUUAAGCUUUUGAAAUCAAAUCUUUUGCCACUGCAUUUUUUCAAAUGUGGGAAGGCUGAUCAAAAUGGGAAUAAGUCAGGAGACCUGCCACUGCAUAUAAUUUUCA
rnacentral:ncRNA from 2 species